rnacentral:rRNA from 1 species
GAUGAACGCUAGCGGCAGGCUUAAUACAUGCAAGUCGUGGGGCAGCAUGAGUAGCAAUACUUGAUGGCGACCGGCAAACGGGUGAGGAACACGUACACAACCUUCCUUCAAGCGGGGAAUAGCCCAGAGAAAUUUGGAUUAAUACCCCAUAAUAUAUUUGAUAAGGCAUCUUAUUAAUAUUAAAGCUUCGGCACUUGAUGAUGGGUGUGCGGCUGAUUAGAUAGUUGGCGGGUAACGGCCCACCAAGUCUACGAUCAGUAGCUGAUGUGAGAGCAUGAUCAGCCACACGGGCACUGAGACACGGGCCCGACUCCUACGGGAGGCAGCAGUAAGGAAUAUUGGACAAUGGACGAAAGUCUGAUCCAGCCAUGCCGCGUGAAGGAUUAAGGUCCUCUGGAUUGUAAACUUCUUUAUAUGGGACGAAAAAGGGCAUUCUUGUUCACUUGACGGUACCAUAUGAAUAAGCACCGGCUAACUCCGU